rnacentral:rRNA from 1 species
AACGAACGCUGGCGGCAGGCCUAACACAUGCAAGUCGAACGCGUGUAGCAAUACACGAGUGGCGCACGGGUGAGUAACACGUGGGAAUCAACCCAGAGGUUCGGAAUAACCGCGGGAAACUGCGGCUAAUACCGGAUAUCCCCUACGGGGGAAAGAUUUAUCGCCUUUGGACGAGCCCGCGUCCGAUUAGCUAGUUGGUGAGGUAAUGGCUCACCAAGGCGACGAUCGGUAGCUGGUCUGAGAGGAUGAUCAGCCACACUGGAACUGAGAUACGGUCCAGACUCCUACGGGAGGCAGCAGUGGGGAAUAUUGGGCAAUGGAGGCAACUCUGACCCAGCCAUGCCGCGUGGGUGACGAAGGUCUUCGGAUUGUAAAGCCCUUUCGGCGGGACGAUGAUGACGGUACCCGCAGAAGAAGCCCCGGCUAACUUCGUGCCAGCAGCCGCGGUAAUACGAAGGGGGCUAGCGUUGUUCGGAAUUACUGGGCGUAAAGGGCGUGUAGGCGGCCCGUUAAGUCG